UACCUAGGAGGUGGAAAGAGAGAGAUGCACAGUCAGCCCUCGUCCCACAGAGCCCAGCAAGAGAAAACCGUCUGGCAUGCUUUCAGUCGGCAAAGGUGACAGAGGGGCGCAGGGCAAGAGAGCUGUGCUUAGGUGGCCCACCCUAGGCUUGCCCCAGGGCUUUUUCCCCAGCCAGAACUCACUGGAACUCAGUUCUGGCUGUUGAAUGGUGGGCGCUAUUGCCAUUAUAAGAGAAUGAGGGAGGUGAGUUCAUGGUGAGUCCUGGCACCUCUUUUUCUAGAAAAAUAGCACUGGCUGGCACCUUCCCCUGGGAUGGCCAUGCCAUACAGCUUUCAUCUAGUUCACACCUGAACUUUCCAACGCAAUACGAUUUGAAAUUGCAGCGUUAAGCCUUGGUCACUCACAUCAAAGUCCAAAUGCUCGGAGACAUAUUUCAUGAGUACGUUGGUGGUCUUGACUGCUCUUUGCCUCUCACUGAUUUUUGUGGAGUCAAUCCAGCCAUUUGUGUGCUGCGAGAGAGAAAUCAUCGUCAUCACAUGGAAGGACAACCCUUAAUCCAGGGACUCGAGGCAGCUUACAAACAAAACAAGAACAACUAAAGACACAGAAAAAAGAAGCCAUUAAAAAAAAAGCAUUAGUAGAAUUAGAUAUUAAUUGGCUCUUGGGUUGCUUUUGUUUUAUUAUGCAUUUUCUGUUCUGAUUGUGUAUUUUUAUGUUGUGAACCGCCCUGCAAUCUGUCAUUUGUGUGUUUGUGUGUGUGAUAAUUACAACAAUACAACAUACACCUCACCACAGCCAUAGCAAUGGAAUGCAGGAAGCAUCCUUAGACCAAGCCCAGCCAUUGAUCCACAGGUACUGAGGACUGGCAGUUGGCCCUUUGGCCUUUCAGGCAGAGAGCCUUUUCCCAGCCCCACCUGGAGAUGCUGAGGACUGAACCGGGGAC